rfam:Sorghum bicolor cultivar BTx623 chromosome 4, whole genome shotgun sequence.
UCGUAACACGAACCGGUGCUAAAGGGACCUGCCCAACGGCUACUGAUAAGUAUUGUCGGGGCAAAGACCCUUUAGUACCGGUUCGUGUUACAAA